CCCGAAGAAGACAUGAAUUCAGAUAACUCGUUGCUCGAAAUCGCGUUUUGCCGACACGAAUUUUAUUUUGUCCUAAAACAGGGGAUCGUGCGCUAGCGACGGCCUUUCGGCAUAGUAGAGAGAUGAGACUCCAGCCCUUGAGACAAACUUGGGUUGGGGGCUUGGCCGUCGAGUCAAGGGCGGAUUCCAUAUAGCCCGUGGGAUUGUAGACUUGUAGGGUGUACCAUCUAACUCAGAAGUAAAACAAAGGGUUGAGUCAUGACUUACAAGAAUGUUUUGAAGCUCUUGAAUUAUCCCCAUGUGUUUUUGAUAUCUAUUAUGUUAAAUUAUUUUCUUAAUGCUCUAGACUAUUUAAUAUAGAAUACAUGUUUUUGGUUAGUUCUACAUACCAAUAUAUUUCAGGUAUUGACUGUCCUUCGUAGCAGCUGCAUUGUCUCAUAAUGUAGAUUCUGAGGCGCAAUACCAUGGUCCAUCACAUCAGUAGAACACUUGGAUAUGAUAGAGUUGGUGAGCCAUUCAUCUUUUGGAGGGCAUUUAUUCAUAUGUUGACUUCUUUAAGUUUAAGGUCCAGUCGGGGGCCUUGUCCCGGCCUAAACAGUUAGUAUUCAGUAGAGGUUUCGUAGAUGAGAUUUGGAUUUUUAUAUUGCCACAACUUUGUUGACACAGUUUGAUUAUAAGUUUCCUUUGAAUUUCAUUAUAUCUUCCGCACCUUGAUUUAUGUAUGAAUGAUGCUUAUGGUAGUAUGCUAAGGGGUCUCUCAGGCCUUUGUGGUUCGGGAUGCCCGUCGUAGCCUGGGCGUUGGCUAGGAUCGGGACAAACAGUUUACCAGAAAAUACUUACAUACUUUUGAUCAGAAAUAGGUUGCAUAAAACUAUUAAACUAGCACUAUAUUUGAAGUUUUGAAAAGCCACAAAUAUGAAAGAUGCAUAUUCUCAAUCUAGUGGAUGGAGAGAUGGUGAUCGUGAUAAAAGCAAACUUGAAUCAUAUACUUAUAGGGGCAAAAUAGAAUCACAUAGUACAUCAUAUUGGGGCAAAAUUAAAUCAUAUACAUUGUAUUGAGACAAAAUAGAAUCAUACAUAAAGGUUUUUGCGUUUGCUCGUAGUAAUUCAAGAGAUUGAAAAAUAGGAUGCUCAUUCGUCAAAUAUAAAGACAAUUUAGAAAUAAGAUAAGGUGCAUAUAUGCUAAAGGCUCCCUUGAUUACUCACACAUGCAACAUCUGACCAGUGAUUAGAGUAUAAACGUAGUUUAUUAAACAUGUUUGAUGCAUAAUCAUCCUUACAAAGAAUAACGAAAAAUGGUUAAAUAUAUUUCUCUACUUUCAUUGAUCGAUUAGCUUUCUCUUUCAUUAUAUAUUACUUCAUCUGUCCCAUUUUACUCGUCCCAAAUUUUUUAAUUUAAUUUCUUAUUUUACUUGUCAUUUUUUAUUACAAGACAAUUUUUUUUUUCUUUUUUACCCUUAGGGUGUGUUUGGUAUGAAAGAAAAAUGUUUUUCAUGGAAAAUGUUUUCUUGGAAAACAAGUUGAUUUCUUACUAGUUUUCCUAUGUUUGGUUGGUGGACGGAAAAUAUUUUCAGAAAAUAUUUUAUAGUGUUUGGUUGGUGAAUGAAAAAUUAUUUUUUCAAAAAUACAUACUAGUGUAUAGCUAAAGCGUAAAAAUACAUUUUAGAAAAAUAAUUUUUGUGUGUCUGACUGUCAGAAAGUGACGACUAAGUUGACGAGUUGUCAACUAGGUGACGACUAAGUUGACGAGCCUUCAACCCUAGUCAUCAACCUUAACCGAAAAAGAGCAACAUCCAUCUAUAAUUGACGACUAGAGUGACGAGACAUCACCAAGUUGAUGACUUGUCAACCAGUCGUCAGUUGAAGAAAUUCCUGCAUUUUUGUUGGUUUCUUUAGGGAUUUUGGUCUUUUCCUCACCUCAAACCCCAAAUCCACGACUUAAAAACACUCUUUAAAUGUAAAUUGCCCAUUAUAUGUCAGUUUCUCAUCGUUCAUUCUCCUCUCCACUCUCAAGAGAGAAAAAUUAGGGUUUCUUUCAAAAACACAUGCUCCCAAGGUUUAGAUUCAAGAUAUCUCGAAUUUUGUUCAUCAAAAAGGUAUGUGGAACUAUACUAAAUCUUAUGGGCGUAAAUUUUACAUUUUUACAUAAGUUUUAAAGAUAUAUAUAUGUAUGUAUAUGAAAUGGAUUUUUGAAAAUCGUUUAAAGAGCAUGCAUCAUAAACCCGUUUUGAUGAAAGUUACGUAAUUAUCAUGGGUUUUUUCCAUAAGCUUGAUUUAUAACCUUGUGCAUACAUGAUUUGAGUUUGAAAAGUGAUGUAUGAAUAUGACUUGCAAAAUUUCCCUUCCCCAUGAUAAAAUUUAUGGUCUUAGCAUGUUAUGAAUUGUAAAUUUGGUUUGAGAGCAUAAAUUAUAAGUCCUUUUUUGAUCAUGAGAUUUACGUAUAAUAAAUGUUGGGGUUGUUUUACGAAUGAAGAUGAUUCUUAAGUUUAAAUGCCUCUUUACUUGUUAUGGAUGGUUGUUUCACGUGUUUUUCAAAGAGGUGAUUUUUAUUUCAAAUGCUAUAGUUUCCUAAUGAAGAAAUUGCAUGUGAUUAAUGAUUAAAUUGCCUACCGCAUAUGUAAGUCUUGAAAAGAGAGUGUGUUUGCAUAAGUUUGCACAUGCUUUUGAAAUAAGAACUCUCUUGUAAUGUUUAAAUUCUUUGGGUGGUCAUUAAUAUGCUUUUAAGUAAGGGGGGCUAUGGAUAUAAUGUGGUAUGAAAUAAAUGACUUGCAAGUCUGGGUAUGACGAAACCUUGUUGUGAUAUACCCUUAACAGAAUACGAAAAGAAUUAUUUAUAAUCAAGAAGUAUAUUUUUAAGAGGUUAAAAUUAUGGUUAAACAUAGUUAGAUGGUUCCCCGAAGAAGACAUGAAUUCAGAUAACUCGUUGCUCGAAAUCGCGUUUUGCCGACACGAAUUUUAUUUUGUCCUAAAACAGGGGAUCGUGCGCUAGCGACGGCCUUUCGGCAUAGUAGAGAGAUGAGACUCCAGCCCUUGAGACAAACUUGGGUUGGGGGCUUGGCCGUCGAGUCAAGGGCGGAUUCCAUAUAGCCCGUGGGAUUGUAGACUUGUAGGGUGUACCAUCUAACUCAGAAGUAAAACAAAGGGUUGAGUCAUGACUUACAAGAAUGUUUUGAAGCUCUUGAAUUAUCCCCAUGUGUUUUUGAUAUCUAUUAUGUUAAAUUAUUUUCUUAAUGCUCUAGACUAUUUAAUAUAGAAUACAUGUUUUUGGUUAGUUCUACAUACCAAUAUAUUUCAGGUAUUGACUGUCCUUCGUAGCAGCUGCAUUGUCUCAUAAUGUAGAUUCUGAGGCGCAAUACCAUGGUCCAUCACAUCAGUAGAACACUUGGAUAUGAUAGAGUUGGUGAGCCAUUCAUCUUUUGGAGGGCAUUUAUUCAUAUGUUGGCUUCUUUAAGUUUAAGGUCCAGUCGGGGGCCUUGUCCCGGCCUAAACAGUUAGUAUUCAGUAGAGGUUUCGUAGAUGAGAUUUGGAUUUUUAUAUUGCCACAACUUUGUUGACACAGUUUGAUUAUAAGUUUCCUUUGAAUUUCAUUAUAUCUUCCGCACCUUGAUUUAUGUAUGAAUGAUGCUUAUGGUAGUAUGCUAAGGGGUCUCUCAGGCCUUUGUGGUUCGGGAUGCCCGUCGUAGCCUGGGCGUUGGCUAGGAUCGGGACAAACAGUUUACCAGAAAAUACUUACAUACUUUUGAUCAGAAAUAGGUUGCAUAAAACUAUUAAACUAGCACUAUAUUUGAAGUUUUGAAAAGCCACAAAUAUGAAAGAUGCAUAUUCUCAAUCUAGUGGAUGGAGAGAUG
rnacentral:lncRNA from 1 species